rnacentral:lncRNA from 12 species
CUUUGUCUUGAUGUUGCUUUUCAACAAACUCUUGAAAGGAUCCAGGCAUACCAUUUUAGAGUUGAUCUUCUCUUCUCUGUCCUUGCUUAUGCCUAAUAUUAAGUACCUAAAAUGUCACAUAUAUUGUUUAAUCUAUUAUCUCUCUUUUUAAAAAGAUUUUAUUUAUUUAUUCAUGAGAGACACAGAUAGAUGCAGAGACACAGGAAGAGGGAGGAAAAGCAGGCUCCAUGCUGAGAGCCCAAUAUGGGACUCAAUCCUAGGACCCCAGGAUCACGCCCUGAGCCAAAGGCAGAUGCUCAACUGCUGAGCCACCCAGGCAUCCCUUAAUCUAUUCUCUUAAAACCAUCAGCCAUUAGUAGUCAUCAAAAGACUAUUGUAUGUGUCAUCACAGGUGUUGGCUUGUGGCAAAGUGGUUUGUCAUCAGAAGCUCCCCACCAGCCUGCAAUGGAUGCUACUAGCUAAAGGGGACACAAUCUGGCUGCUUGCCAUCACAACUCCUUGUCUUAGAACCUCUCAGAUCAUGCCAGGAAUCUGGGGCACUGACCAGUCAGUGAAAGUACAAAGACAAAUGUGCAUGGCUGCCCGCCUGAAGGAGCUUUCCGAUGACUCAGUGGUAAUGGACGUUCAUCUAGUGGCACAGGGGUUAUGACACAGGGAGGCCCAAGAAAGAAGGCAGUCAGAAUAGUCUUCCUGAAGCAAAUAUCUAUGAAUUAUACUUUGGGAUUCUUAAAACUGAGCAAAUUAAAGAAAACAUGAAUUGUAAGGUAAGCCACAAAGAAGCCUUUUCUGAAUUCCUAAAAUUUUCUGUCUACAAAUAUUCAGCGGUUAAUCUGUUUCAGAUAGGAUUUUAUAAGUAAAUUCAGGCAUGACCUUCAUUUGGUUUGUGCUCUGGCAAGAGGAACAAAGCUCCUAUAGCCACUGAGAGCCCCUGGUUCCAUGAUAGUAACAAUAUAGAAAAGCCACAGAACACUGAAAAGAGAUUUUGAAUACUUUAGAACUACUUUUGAAGCCAUGGCAACCAUGAAACAAUUGUAGAAAUAAAAAAGUUUUGAAUUCUUGACA